AUUUCAAAGAUUUGUAUAUAAAUGAAACCAGAGUGAAACCCGUCUUGAAUCUGUUUCACUUUCCCGGUUUGGGGUAUAGCGCGCCCACUAAAAUUUAGUCAAACUGCAAUGAUGACAUAGAUAGUCCAGAAAAAGUGAUUUUGAGUGGCUGGUGACUUCCCCUGCUUAUGUCAUCUUACAUGCUCACUGAACAAAUCGGCUUAACGAUGUGACAAUCGACAAGGUGCCUGAGAAAUACUUUAUAUGCAGAAAACGAAGUCUUCUCAAGGUUUCUUCCCAAGUGCGCGGAAGUGCACCCUUAGUUCCCCGGACCGCUAUCAAAGGUCGCCUCUUUCGCGCAAGUGGAAAUAACCCCAAACCUCAAUCCAGCAUCUGAAGCACCCAAAAUACUCCUCUCCGUAUGUAUUCUCUCAUCUCCUCCAUUUCAUUCCUUAACUUUCUAGGCCCACAGAUGCGGCUCUCGUAGCCCCUUUGGGGGCCAGAACCCUGAAUAGCCACCCUCACUCAACCGCCCCCCUGAACGGGAAGGCAGGCUUCCUUAGUCGGGCAGGACCAGCAGCCUCCCAGGCCCCUCGUGGCCGCGAGGUGGAAGCUCUCUCCUGCCCUUUACCUCAGUGCUUCGUACCCGCGGGAAAUCAAGUUAGAAAACUGCAACCUUCCCCCCGAUCUACUCCUCCUCCCGGCUCCUCACAUUUCUCUAACCGUUUUCCCCAGAAGCAUCCCGCCGGGGGAUGAAUUCGAAGACUCUCCCGACCCUCCAGUGCUGGAUUCUGGCCGGCGCCCGGUCUCUCUCCACCCCAGCCGCCCCUCCAGCCGUCUCCUCCCUCGUCUUCCACUGGUGCGUGGAGAAGGGCGGGGGAGGGAAAAAGUCCCGUCUCCUUAAUUUGAGUGAUACCUUGGAGAUUAUCUCUUCAUGGAAUCUGGAAAUGACGUGAACACCUUUCUGAAAACAUCUAGAAGAAAACGCCUUUGGUCUCCUUUUCCUUGUGGUUCUCCUUCCAAGUCUCUCUGCCGCUCUCUUUGGUUGAAUGGCUAGGAAUGAGGCGAGGUCAGAUAAGAAAAGCGAAGGGGGAGUUAGAGGCAGCGGUCUUCAGAAGUGGGGUUGAGAACCGCUCACUGAGUGGGCCUAGAGAUCUGUUUAUCCAC
rnacentral:lncRNA from 1 species